UACGUAGGGUGCAGGCGUUAAUCGGAAUUACUGGGCGUAAAGCGUGCGCAGGCGGCUCCUUAAGUCAGAUGUGAAAGCCCCGGGCUUAACCUGGGAACUGCGUUUGAAACUGGGGAGCUGGAGUGUGGAAGAGGGGGGUGGAAUUCCAGGUUUAGCAGUGAAAUGCGUAGAGAUCUGGAGGAACACCGAUGGCGAAGGCAGCCCCCUGGGCUAACACUGACGCUCAUGCACGAAAGCGUGGGGAGCAAACAGG
rnacentral:rRNA from 1 species